CGCACUCCUACGGGAGGCAGCAGUGGGGAAUAUUGCACAAUGGGCGCAAGCCUGAUGCAGCCAUGCCGCGUGUAUGAAGAAGGCCUUCGGGUUGUAAAGUACUUUCAGCAGUGAGGAAGUGGGUAUGUUAAUAGCAUAUUCAUUUGACGUUAGCUGCAGAAGAAGCACCGGCUAACUCCGUGCCAGCAGCCGCGGUAAUACGGAGGGUGCGAGCGUUAAUCGGAAUUACUGGGCGUAAAGCGCAUGCAGGUGGUUUGUUAAGUCAGAUGUGAAAGCCCGGGGCUCAACCUCGGAAUUGCAUUUGAAACUGGCAAACUAGAGUACUGUAGAGGGGGUAGAAUUUCAGGUGUAGCGGUGAAAUGCGUAGAGAUCUGAAGGAAUACCGGUGGCGAAGGCGGCCCCCUGGACAGAUACUGACACUCAGAUGCGAAAGCGUGGGGAGCAAACAGGAUUAGAUACCCUGGUAG
rnacentral:rRNA from 1 species